CUGUAUUUUGCCUGUAAGCAAAUGGAGAGCCACAUUGAACAGUGGCUGAAGAAGCCAAAAAAGAACCCAUUUUUAGGAGACAACUUUGCUCGCAAGGUUUUGUUUUUCAAUUUCCCUAAUUUUUGUUUUUCUAAUUUUACUAGCAUUUUUUUAUUUUAUUAAGCACGCCAAUCUUAAGUCUGCGGCCACUGGAACUCUUUACUGUAUGUUCAUAUCCAGUUAUGGGAGCACAGAAUUUUAUGCGAGAGGAUAAUGUACGGUUGGAGACUUCGAGAGACAGAUGUAUUUCAUAUGAAUUUCAACUUUUAUCUCGUAAUGCUAUCUUUUAAGGAUGUUAAUAUGGAGGCUGACAGUAGGGCAAUGCCAGUGGACGCAAAUAUCCCUGCAGAUUCCCAUUUUCAGGAAAGAUUACUUAUAAAAUUGGCAAUAAGGUAUUUUGUUGUUUGGAAGGGGCAAGAAUAGGCAUUCAAUAUGAGACAUCUUUUGCAGCUAUUCCUGAACCUGAAUUAUUUAUUACUGUAAGUUAUCUGGUUAUCAUGUUGGAUGUCUCUGCAAUUAUAAUUUUGUGCUUGUCGUCUCUAUGAGUUAUCUAGUUUUUGUGGUUAUUACAGAUGUUAGUAAACGUCUUUUAAGGAUUGGCUUAAUUGGUUCUUGGCCCCAUUAUAAAAUUUUACCCUGCAUACUUCUUUUAGCAAACCAUUAAUCACUUUUCACCAAAACUGGCUGCUUAACUUUUUUAUAUAUUCCUGGGGAGGUCUUUUGUAAUGGGUGCGCUGUGCACUGAUAUCUUAAGCUAUUUUGCUGUCUUGGUGAUAGAAGUUUCUAUUUGAUUUUAGUUUUUCAAGUUCCUGAUGUAUAUCUCUUUCUUGCUGGGGUUUACAGAACAAAAGUUUUGUGGAUUUCUUUCUUAAAAGGUUGACUAACCUUCCCUGGAAGAAACCUUUUUUUGCAAUUUCAUUUGAAUGUUGAUCUAUGAGAAUGACUCUUCUGUAAGAAUUUAUCAGUUGUUUCUGUCCUCUUUUCUGAGAUGUAAUACUCAUGCAUAGAGUUUCUGACCAGAAGGAAAUUUUUAUGAUUAAAAUUCUUUCUGGCUUUUAAAAUAAGAUGAUCUUGUAGCAGGGAUCAUCCAUUAGUUUAAGCUAUAAGGAAACUGAUUCUCUUUUGGUGAUUUUGCUGGAGAACCUUGCAAGCUGUACCACUCUGUGCUGCAGAGCAAGUCCUUGAACACACAAUUCCUUUCUUUCUACUGAUACCAGAAACAGAAAAUGAUCUUCUUUCGUCCAAUGCCAUGUUAAGAGAUUCAUAAAUCACAUUGGAGAACUUCUACAGACAUAUGUGGAUUGACAAGAACAGCAAGGUAAUGGUGUCUCUUAGGUGCACUGAUCUCAUCUCUGUGCUUUCUAGUCAAGUCAGAGUCCUGGUAUGGCCAACAUCUCAAAUCAAGAAAGUCGGUAUAAGUUACCCCUCUCCUGCCAGCCUAUCUUAUGUAGAGGAUGCAAUAGGACCCUUGAGCUUACCAGAAGGUGAGUUGCCUUUUUUCAAGUUAAAAAGUUUUUUAAUCUAUCAAAGUUCAAAAAUUCUAGUGUUGGAUGAUAUUUUAGUGAGGUAUUAUAAUUGUGGAUCUGGACAAUGUAGUUCAUUUUUCCUGUUAAGUGAGGGGUGGGGUUGGCUAUGAGAUAUUCUCAACUGUCAAAUUUUUCUAUGAAAUACUGGUAUUGUUUUGGAAUCGCAUCUCAGAAAAACACAGCUAAGAUGCAAA